UCUAAUGUGGCANAUUAGUGCAAUGAAUUUAAGCUUCAUGUAUAAAGUUAUUUUCUUUUGUUANAA
rnacentral:tRNA from 1 species